rnacentral:rRNA from 1 species
GACGAACGCUGGCGGCGUGCUUAACACAUGCAAGUCGAACGGAAAGGCCCUGCUUUUGUGGGGUGCUCGAGUGGCGAACGGGUGAGUAACACGUGAGUAACCUGCCCUUGACUUUGGGAUAACUUCAGGAAACUGGGGCUAAUACCGGAUAGGAGCUCCUGCUGCAUGGUGGGGGUGGGAAAGUUUCGGCGGUUGGGGAUGGACUCGCGGCUUAUCAGCUUGUUGGUGGGGUAGUGGCUUACCAAGGCUUUGAAGGGUAGCCGGCCUGGGAGGGUGACCGGCCCCAUUGGGACUGGGGAGGGGCCCGGGCGCCUACGGGGGGCAGGGGUGGGGAAUAGUUCCCGAUAGGCGGAGGCCUGGUGGAGCAACGCCGGGUGGGGAAUGCCGUCCUUCGGGUUGUAAACGGAUUUCGCCUGUGCCGAGGCGUGAUGAAGGGAAAUGGAUAAUAAGGCACCGGCAAACUCGGG